rnacentral:tRNA from 2 species
GGAGGAGUGGCAGAGUGGUCGAAUGCACCGGUCUUGAAAACCGGCGUACGUGAAAGCGUACCGUGGGUUCGAAUCCCACCUCCUCCGCCA